UACGUAGGGCGCAAGCGUUGUCCGGAAUUAUUGGGCGUAAAGAGCUCGUAGGCGGCCUGUUGCGUCCGCUGUGAAAUCCCGGGGCUCAACCCCGGGCCUGCAGUGGAUACGGGCUGGCUAGAGGCAGGCAGGGGAGAACGGAAUUCCUGGUGUAGCGGUGAAAUGCGCAGAUAUCGAGAGGAACACCAGUGGCGAAGGCGAGUCUCUGGACAUUUCCUGACGCUCAGGCACGAAAGCCAGGGGAGCAAACGGG
rnacentral:rRNA from 1 species